rnacentral:rRNA from 1 species
UACAGAGGGUGCGAGCGUUAAUCGGAAUUACUGGGCGUAAAGCGCACGUAGUCGGCUUUGCAAGUCGGGUGUGAAGUCCCCGGGCUCAACCUGGGAACUGCAUCCGAGACUGCAUUGCUAGAGUAUGGGAGAGGGAAGCGGAAUUUCUGGUGUAGCAGUGAAAUGCGUAGAUAUCAGAAGGAACAUCAGUGGCGAAGGCGGCUUCCUGGACCAAUACUGACGAUCAGGUGCGAAAGCGUGGGGAGCAAACAGG